rnacentral:lncRNA from 1 species
GGAAAAAUUUCAAAUACCCUCGUAUGGUUUCGCACUUUCUCACUUUAGUACUCUAUGAUUUAAAUUAUAUCAAAUUAGUACCUGUGGUUUCGCACUUUCUUACUUUAGUACCCUAUGAUUUUAAGUGUAUCAAGUUAGUAUCCUGUGGUUUCGCACUUUCUCGCUUUAGUACUCUGUGGUUUAAUAUUUCGUUAAAUUAUAUACUCCGAAAUGGAUAAUAAAAAGAGAAAAUUGAAAUCACAGGAUACUAACUUGAUAUACAAAAAUAAAACAACUGGAUACUAACUUGAUACACUUGAAACCACAGGGUACUAAAAUGAGAAAGUGCGAAACCUUAUGGUACUAACUUGAUAUAUUUUAAACCACAGGAUACUAAAAUGAAAAAGUGCAAAACUUGAUAUAUUUUAAACCACAGGAUACUAAAAUGAAAAAGUGCAAAACUACGAUGGGGUAUUUGAAGUUGCCCC